UGGGGGGCCCGGGCCCGCGUCUCCUCUCCUCUCUCCGCCUCUCCCGUUUCCUCCUUCCUGCUGCUGCUUCUUUUAAAGCGGAUUCUUUGGCCACAAAUAGCACCUCGGCUGCCCCCCUUCAGCGUCUCCCUCCCCUUCUUCUUUUCUUCCCCCCAAAAGUGAAGCACACGCGAGGAUCCUCGUAGAAUCUCCAGCAAGUGGGAAAAGUCAGCAGCUGCAAACCGCCAUUGGCAACUGGCCCAUCGGAGGGUAUUGGAAACUUGGUCAGAAAGGUUAAAUAAAGUAAAGCCAGGGCCUGCAGUCUACUGGGUGGUUUGUUCCGUGAUCAGGCCAAUACACACAGUAUUUACUCCUGCAGACGCCAGCAAAGAGCAAAGCCUCAGAGUGAAACACAGGAAGAAUUUCUGUUCCUCCGCAAGCUCCCAGGCUGCCUGUCUUUUUGAUGACUCAAGGAGCUACAAAGCUGAGCAGAUGUGAUGGACACCUGCCCUCUGUGCUCUAACUACCCAUCCAGAAAUCUGCCCAAGAUGUAAACUUUGACUUGACUUUCUCAGUGCCACGUUGUCCCAUAAACUGGUGAUCCCACUUUCUCAUCGAAAGUUGGAUGUGAGAAGAAGAGUAAGUUCUAAAAGCUGAAAUAGUCCUCGGUUGUUUCCUUCUGUGGUGAGACACACAUCCCUCUGCCUGCAAGCCUUAUUGAAGAAGAACCCAGCUGAGAAGCCCGAUUGCUUUCUGAGAGUUAGUCAAAGAACUGUACCUCACUGCUAAGAAGUUAGACCUGCUUGCUAGAGAACUUAGUGGUGAUUGGUAACAAAGCAAGCAAUAAGCAGGCGGAAAAGGAACCCAGAAAUCAGAACAGACCAGUACAAAUAAAUGACCGAAUCUUGACUUUUCUGACACCAUGAAGUCCUAGAUGUUUCUGUCUCCACUGCAACCUAGAACAAAACAUCCCAGAGGAAAAAGUAGGAAUGGGGUGAAGUGAUGGAGAAUUAUUUAGGGUGAUUCUGUGGAGGAAGCUGCGGUACAGCAAAUAGAAUAACUAAACAUUCCCUGCAUAUCCAAGAGGUGGUGAGAGCAAGACUGCUGUUUGCUACACAGAUUAGUACAGUCCGAGCUGAUUUGAUACAAAGCAUCAGCCUGAUGCAGCAUCUGUGACAACCUCUGGGUUUGUUCAUCGUUUGGAAAUUUUAAAUUAGAUUUAAAACACACACACACACAUGCAUACAAAAACAGAGAUGGGUUAAGCAUUUGUUGAACCCACUGAACCCACUUCAUUUUAAGAGGUAAGGAAACUGAGUCCCUGAGAGUUUAAGGUCAUUCAGCUAUUCGGUGGCAGAAGCAGGACAAGAACCCAAAUACCACAACCUAGAGUCCCCUAGCUCAUCAAAUAUUCAUCAUUCCCUUCAAGUUCUGGAUCAAAGAAGUCGUUAUUCCAACUUAUCAAUGAGAAAUAAAUAUAGAAUAUUUAAAAACUAUAAAUACUUGCAUGAAGGAAAAUGAAGCAAUAGGACUAGAUAUUUUUUUAGUUCCUUUCCAGCUCUUCCAUUCUGUGCUGAAUAGCACACAGGAGCUUUGCUAUAGCACAACCGCUCUAGUGCAUAAUUCAGCAUAUGAUGAGUACGAGUCUGAUUUGGACCCCAUCCAAGGGAGUUAGUUCCUAGAAGUACUUGAAAGAUUUUAUUCUCCUUUAUCAUGAAGCAUCCUGAAAGAAGACUGAAAUAAUAAUGAUGAUAAUAGUGGCCAAUUGUUACACUUGUAUUAUGCAGUACACAUCAGGCUAUGUAUGUUAUAAUCCACUGGCUUUCAAAAGGUACAUCAUGACCUUCCAUGGGUCAGAGACGUUUUUGUUUAAUUUUGCCACAUGCGCUUGCCAGAGACAGGGUGGGGAGGGGAUGGUCAAGUUACAACCCCCUCUUCACUUGUCCUUUCGGGAUUUGGGGCACACAUACACACACACCCGUGUGUUUUUCUUGCCACCAGGUUCUGGAUUUGAACCAUGUAUUUGGCCAUGAAGAAUCCAGUCAUCUAAAUCACUAUGCCACUGACUGGCCUAGAACAUUUUAAAUCAAAAGAAAAUAGAAUACAUGACAUUUACAAAGUAUUAUUUUGUUAAGCUUAUGUUUUAAUCAUGUGACUAGUGAUUAAAAGAAAAAGUCAGAAAGCCACUGCCUGGUCUCCAAUGUUAACAACUACCUUGCUGUUUAAGUAGUAGUAGCCAUGGUGUAAGUGAGGAGACAGGGUCAAAAAUGAUAAGAAGUCUGGCCAAGCUGACGUCACUAGGAAGUGACCAGCUAGAAUGUUGAACCUAGAUCUGCUUGACUUCAAACUCUGUUUUUACUUCUAAAAUGAUGAUAAAUUAUUAACCAAAGUGAGAAAUAAAUUGUUGCUUCCUUUGUGAGAACUUCAAGAGUUUUUAUUAAAUCCAGCCAGAAUGAAGAAACACAGCAUCGAUUCAAGUGACAUGUUCUAAAGACAGCAGUUUCAUAAGGCACUGAAACUCAUACCUGAGACCUUUUCCUACAGGUGCAAGGUUGUGUCUAAUACACUUUAUUAAGUCAAUGCUAAAUGGGGAAAUAAGAUAAUGAUUAAUGGCUUUAAUCUUCAAAUAACUUAAAUAUUCAUUCUAUGAAUGUGAAAACAUUUAAGUGAGCUUUUUCAAUUUAAUUCAUAUAGCAUUUCUCAGUAGCUUGCUUUUUCCAAACACAGAACUGACACAUCCAAAAGAUAAAAGAAAUGUAAGACAGUACCUAAACCAAACAUUGUCUUAGUUCAUUUGGGGACACAAGAUGCACACAUAUAAAGUGAUCAGAUAACACUACAAUUCCACCGCAACUGUGAAGAAGAAAGAAAGACAGUGAUGGCCGUGCUAAAUUUUUUGAUCCAGAUAGUCCUAGGGAUUCUACCAGUAACACUGCAAUUCAGGUGUCAUCAUUCACACUCUUCAGAUUGAAAAGCUCCAACUCAGAAUCAGGUAAUGAUUGAAAUGAGUGUCGAAUCUUAGUCUUUCUGAUUCCACUACCACUGAAAGGCUCUUUGCAAACAGGUGUACUUCCAGUAGACAAGGAGAUUUUGAGACCUGCUUUGCAAACACACUUUUCUCAACAUGAGAGAAAUGCACAUUUUUUUUUCUCUAUGACAGCAUCUCUUGUUGUCAGGCAGCAAUGUCCUCCUUAAGAAAAGAAAUUUGUAUCUUUCUCUCAAGAAAAGGUAGACCCUCUCCCCUGACUGCCUGGUUUGGCUACUGCAUUUCACCCUCACCUGCAGUGAAUAGAGGACGUUAUGGUACGAUGCUAUUUUCCAUUGGCUCUGCUACUGGAGAUUACAGCAUGUGACUGUGACAAAUGGAUAUUCCCAUUAAAUUCUUUAGUAGAGUGGGGCAUUCCAUUAACCAUUGGCACUAUCCCAACCCAAGUGAAACAUUGGGUCAUUUUUUUUCUUGUGAGCAAGAAGUGAAGAGGGAAAACAAAGGAUAUACUCUAAUUACCUUUCCUGAGUUUUGGGGGUUUUUUUGGUGCAUGCAUUAUGAUAGUCAUAUAUUACAAUUAUUUAUAAUUAAUAUAUGACAAGCUGUCAGCUAAAAUUUAACAGGUGAUUUGUCAAGAAGCU